AUGGCCACAUAACGGUCAUAGGCCAUUGCAGAUAGAUUGAACAGCUCACUGAUGAUGAACAAGAUGAAGAAAGCCAGCUGGGUAGCGCACCAGUUAUAGGGGAUUGUAUUUUGAUCAGCUACAAAAUUUACUAACAUUUUGGGUGCCACAGCUGAUGAGUAGCCAAGAUCAAUGAAAGCCAGGUGUCUGAGGAAGAAGUACAUGGGUGUUUGGAGCCUGGAGUCCACCUUGGUGAGGAUGAUCAUGCCCAGGUUGCCCACCACUGAAACUGUGUAGAUGAUGAGGAAAAGCCCAAAGAAGAGAGCCUGCAGCUCAGGAUGAUGCCUGCAGUUCCCCUGAAACUCAUUUGAGUGAAUAUUUAUGUGGUACUCCUUCCCCCAGUCCUACUCAAGCACUGUCUGGAAAAAGCAAGGAAAUUGAGCAUCAAACCUGACUCUUCUCAGAUGGAAGCAGGAACUCGGAACUGUUCCAGGGCCUGGGGUUAGACAGGGAGCCCAAGGCCUGACUACAGUGGGAAGAAUUUAUGAGCAUCUCCUCUAUUUGAGAAACUCCUCUGGGAACUUGAAUGCAAUCCUGAGUUAUUCCCAAAGCAUCUGAGAGCAGGAAAUGAUGUCACUCAUCUUUGCUAAUUAUUCUGUGCUGUCAGACCUUGCUUUGUGACUGUCUUGCAUCUUCCCUCUCCCCUCACCACCAGGGGGAUUUUGUUGUCACUGUCUGGACACAAAUGCCAUGGAACCUGCAGAGCAGUUAGGAAGAGGCAGAGAGAGAGAGAGAGAGAGAGAGAGAGAGAGGCAGAGACACAGGAAGAAGGAGAAG